rnacentral:rRNA from 1 species
AGUGGCGGACGGGUGAGUAACGCGUGAGAAUCUAGCUCUAGGUCGGGGACAACCACUGGAAACGGUGGCUAAUACCGGAUGUGCCGAAAGGUGAAAGAUUUAUUGCCUAGAGAUGAGCUCGCGUCUGAUUAGCUAGUUGGUGUGGUAAGAGCGCACCAAGGCGACGAUCAGUAGCUGGUCUGAGAGGAUGAUCAGCCACACUGGGACUGAGACACGGCCCAGACUCCUACGGGAGGCAGCAGUGGGGAAUUUUCCGCAAUGGGCGAAAGCUGACGGAGCAAUACCGCGUGAGGGAGGAAGGCUCUUGGGUUGUAAACCUCUUUUCUCAGGGAAUAAGAAAGUGAAGGUACCUGAGGAAUAAGCAUCGGCUAACUCC